rnacentral:rRNA from 1 species
AUUGAACGCUGGCGGCAUGCCUUACACAUGCAAGUCGAACGGUAACAGGUUAAGCUGACGAGUGGCGAACGGGUGAGUAAUAUAUCGGAACGUGCCCAGUCGUGGGGGAUAACUGCUCGAAAGAGCAGCUAAUACCGCAUACGACCUGAGGGUGAAAGCGGGGGAUCGCAAGACCUCGCGCGAUUGGAGCGGCCGAUAUCAGAUUAGGUAGUUGGUGGGGUAAAGGCCCACCAAGCCAACGAUCUGUAGCUGGUCUGAGAGGACGACCAGCCACACUGGGACUGAGACACGGCCCAGACUCCUACGGGAGGCAGCAGUGGGGAAUUUUGGACAAUGGGCGCAAGCCUGAUCCAGCCAUGCCGCGUGCGGGAAGAAGGCCUUCGGGUUGUAAACCGCUUUUGUCAGGGAAGAAACGGCUCUUGCUAAUACCGAGAGCUAAUGACGGUACCUGAAGAAUAAGCACCGGCUAACUACGUGCCAGCCGCCGCGGUAAUAC